UACGGAGGGUGCAAGCGUUACCCGGAAUUACUGGGCGUAAAGCGCACGUAGGCGGAUUUGUAAGUCAGGGGUGAAAUCCCGGGGCUCAACCUCGGAACUGCCUUUGAUACUGCAAAUCUCGAGUCCGAUAGAGGUGGGUGGAAUUCCUAGUGGUAGAGGUGAAAUUCGUAGAUAUUCGCAAGAACACCAGUGGCGAAGGCGGCUUACUGGUCCGGUUCUGACGCUGAGGCGCGAAAGCGUGGGGAGCAAACAGG
rnacentral:rRNA from 1 species